rnacentral:tRNA from 1 species
GGUUCUAUGGUGUAAUGGUUAGCACGCUGGACUCUGAAUCCAGCAAUCUUAGUUCAAAUCUCGGUAGGACAU